rnacentral:rRNA from 1 species
UCCCUAUGGGGUGCAGCAGGCGAGAAAACUUUGCAAUGUGCGAAAGCACGACAAGGUUAAUCCGAGUGGUUUCUGCUAAAGGAACCUUUUGUCGGUCCUAGAAACACCGAUGAAUAAGGGGUGGGCAAGUUCUGGUGUCAGCCGCCGCGGUAAAACCAGCACCUCAAGUGGUCAGGAUGAUUAUUGGGCCUAAAGCAUCCGUAGCCGGCUUUGUUAGUUUUCGGUUAAAUCUGUACGCUCAACGUACAGGCUGCCGGGAAUACUGCAGAGCUAGGGAGUGGGAGAGGUAGACGGUACUCGGUAGGAAGGGGUAAAAUCCUUUGAUCUAUUGAUGACCACCUGUGGCGAAGGCGGUCUACCAGAACACGUCCGACGGUGAGGGAUGAAAGCUGGGGGAGCAAACCGGAUUAGAUACCCGGGUAGUCCCAGCUGUAAACUAUGCAAACUCAGUGAUGCAUUGGCUUGUGGCCAAUGCAGUGCUGCAGGGAAGCCGUUAAGUUUGCCGCCUGGGAAGUACGUACGCAAGUAUGAAACUUAAAGGAAUUGGCGGGGGAGCACCACAAGGGGUGAAGCCUGCGGUUCAAUUGGAUUCAACGCCGGAA